rnacentral:rRNA from 1 species
GUGCCAGCAGCCGCGGUAAGACGUAGGGGGCAAGCGUUGCUCGGAAUCACUGGGCUUAAAGGGCGCGUAGGCGGUUGUGUAAGUCCAGGGUUGAAGGCCCCGGCUCAACCGGGGAAAGGCCUUGGAGACUGCAUGACUUGAGUGAGCGAGGGGGAGGGCGGAAUUCCUGGUGUAGCGGUGAAAUGCGUAGAUAUCAGGAGGAAGGCCUGUGGCGAAGGCGGCCCUCUGGCGCUCAACUGACGCUGAGGUGCGAAAGCGUGGGGAGCGAACGGGAUUAGAUACCCCGGUAGUCCACGCCGUAAACGUUGGAUACUAGGUGUUGGAGGUAUUCUACCCCUUCAGUGCCGCAGCUAACGCAUUAAGUAUCCCGCCUGGGGAGUACGACCGCAAGGUUGAAACUUAAAGGAAUUGGCGGGG